rnacentral:misc_RNA from 1 species
AUUAGUCUGUAACCGCAGUGACCAAGCUAGUUUCUAAUUUUUGUAAUCACACUCAAUCGUUGAUUAUUUUCAGGGAGCAGCUACUGCAUCGGGAGCAACUAUUGUAUCAGUAAGUGUAUCUAGUUAAAAAAAUAAAUAUUUUCAAACAACUACUAGAGUCUCUGUAACCGCAGUGCUAGACCAUUUCCUCUGCCUAAGGUUUGCUUGGUAGA